rnacentral:rRNA from 1 species
GGCGAACGGGUGAGUAAUGCAUCGGAACAUGUCCAGUCGUGGGGGAUAGCCCGCCGAAAGGCGGAUUAAUACCGCAUACGCCCGGGAGGGGAAAGCAGGGGACCGCAAGGCCUUGCGCGAUUGGGUUGGCCGAUGUCCGAUUAGCUAGUUGGUGGGGUAAAGGCUUACCAAGGCGAUGAUCGGUAGCUGGUCUGAGAGGAUGAUCAGCCACACUGGGACUGAGACACGGCCCAGACUCCUACGGGAGGCAGCAGUGGGGAAUUUUGGACAAUGGGGGCAACCCUGAUCCAGCCAUUCCGCGUGAGUGAAGAAGGCCUUCGGGUUGUAAAGCUCUUUUGUCCGGAGCGAAACGGGCGCGGCUAAUACCUGCGUCUACUGACGGUACCGGAAGAAUAAGCACCGGCUAACUACGUGCCAGCAGCCGCGGUAAUACGUAGGGUGCGAGCGUUAAUCGGAAUUACUGGGCGUAAAGCGUGCGCAGGCGGUUUUGUAAGCCAGAUGUGAAAUCCCCGGGCUUAACCUG